rnacentral:rRNA from 1 species
GAGUUUGAUCCUGGCUCAGAUUGAACGCUGGCGGCAUGCCUUACACAUGCAAGUCGAACGGCAGCACGGGAGCUUGCUCCUGGUGGCGAGUGGCGAACGGGUGAGUAAUGCAUCGGAACGUAUCCUGGAGGUGGGGGAUAACGUAGCGAAAGUUACGCUAAUACCGCAUAUUCUGUGAGCAGGAAAGCGGGGGGAACCUUCGGGACCUCGCGCUCUUGGAGCGGCCGAUGUCGGAUUAGCUAGUUGGUGAGGUAAAGGCUCGACCAA